rnacentral:rRNA from 1 species
UACGUAGGGUGCAAGCGUUGUCCGGAAUUAUUGGGCGUAAAGAGCUCGUAGGCGGUCUGUCACGUCGGCUGUGAAAACCCGAGGCUCAACCUCGGGCCUGCAGUCGAUACGGGCAAACUAGAGUGUUGCAGGGGAGACUGGAAUUCCUGGUGUAGCGGUGAAAUGCGCAGAUAUCAGGAGGAACACCGGUGGCGAAGGCGGUUCUCUGGGCCUUACCUGACACUGAGGAGCGAAAGCGUGGGGAGCGAACAGG